AGAGAGAUGAAGGUUAGGAGAAAGGGGGAGGCGAUUGGCGGCUUUGCUAACCGUUGCGGCUGUCGGAAAUCGAAGCUUGUUGUGUUGGCCUUGCUAACCGCUGCGGCUGCCGGAUUUCAGAGGGAGGCUGGCGGCUGAGUUGCCGGAGGAGGCGGCUCUCUCCUUAGCGAUUUAGCGAUUGAGUGUUUUGUGUGGGUGUUAAUUAAGAAAUAAAAUAAUACUAAUUAAAACACUAAUUAUGUGGUCCCUACUGUUUUUACAUCUAUUUUAACUCUCCUAAAUACCCGUGCCCAAAAGAAAGGGGACUUCAUUAUUGGGACGGAGGGAGUAUUAUAAUUACAGAAUUUUGAGAUUGACAAUAAUAAAAUAUAAUAAAAUUUAUAUAAUUAUACAUAUAUAAUUAAUAUAUAUAGAAAAUGUUGUUUUCCGUAAAAAGGUUUUAACGAGGCUCGGCCCUUAGUCUGCUUUCUUGUGCUCUCAAGGUUCAUUAGGUUUUUUCUUUUUCUUUCUUUAUAAAAUUGCAUUUUAAUAAUAUAGAAAAUGUUGUGGGGGCACGUGCCCCCGUACUGGGAGCCGUGGAUCCGUCUCUGAAUAUAGGCAACAAUCAAAAUCAAGGUCGAGACAAUUUGGAUCAAGACUGUGAAACACUCAGAAGGGACAUUAUGUUUACUUGCAUAGGCACUUGUUACUGAACUAAAAUGUUUGAGCACAAGUAUUAUGAGGUAUAACAGGUAAUGUCUGCAAUAUUCGUGAAAAACUUUCAAGUUCGAGAGUAAGCCCAGAAGUCACGAGAUCAACUAGUUACUCCCCAUUUUCCAAGCACCUCUGAUCAGGCCUCAAUCUUGAAUCUGUUGUCUCCUGCAAAAAGGUGUUGAAUCCAAUGUCACGAAACUUAAAACGACACAUUCCCAAUAUGUGUACCACAGCAUAUGGAUUGCACACUUUGAACACCAAGGCAGCAUCCGAAUCUAAUGGGUCAAAUUAUGUACUCAUAGAAGCAUUAUUGACUUCUUCCUAUGGGAUCAAGUUUGUGAGACGGUCUAACAAGAGACCUAUCUUCAAAUAUUAAUACAACCAAACACAACUAUUUCACAGCAAAAUAUUUUUUUUGACUGCAACAUGCUGCAAAAUAUAAUUGGCAAACUGGCUUAGAAAGGUAACAAAGGGAAAUUAAUAAGAUCACCAUUAAUCCUGGAGUAAGCUCAUUCAUUGUGAUGGCAAAGCGAGUCAAGUUAUAACGUGUUCCAUAGUAAUCGAGCUUCAGAUAGAGAUUCAUGACCUUUUCCUUUGGAGCAAUCUCCAUCAACAUAGUGCAUGCUCUCAUCCCAUUUCCCAAACAAAGUUGCCACAGUCUUUCCACUCUUGUCUUGGACAACUUCCUGCACCUGCAUUCUCAAAGUUGCUUUUAUGGAGAAAUCCUGAAGAAUAAUACUCCAGAAGCAUCUAUCUAUUAUUUAAUAGAUUACAUAUUCAAGGACUCCCCUUAAUUCAAGAUCCUAUGUGGCACAUCCUCUAUUCUCUAUUCUAAUUUAUCUUAAAUCCUCAUUUAAUCAUUCUAAUCUAUACAUUCUAUCAUCCCACAUUGAAUUUAUAGUAGUCAAUGACUACUAGAGAACACAUAUAAAAGGAUUAGAUAUAAUGUGUAUUUCUCCAUCCCUCAAUUAUUUUGCACAUUUAAUUAAAUUUGAUUUAUUAAUUAGUUGGCCAAAUAAAUAGUUUUAUUUUUAUUGAAAAUUUUGUUUUUAUCAAUUAUUAAAACGUCAAUGCUAAUUGGCUAAGUAAUUGAUUUUUUUUAAUUAGAAAAUAUUUAAGUUCACAAAAUUAUAAGUUGACGUAAUUUGAAGAAUCGUAGAAUUGCAUUUCUCCAUAUGUUAAAUAUUUGAGCAAAUAAUUAGAAAAUAUUUGCUAGAUUUUUAUAAUUUUUGAAACAUAAAUUUUUAAACUGAUGUAUCCCCUUAGAAAAAAUUGUCAUGAUUAUGUGAUUUUCUCUAUUUUUUAAUUUUAUUCAUCUCAAGUCCUCAUUUUAAUUAUUUUUUAUCCAAUCCCACAUCAAAUUUAUAGUAGUGUAUGCCUACUAGAGAACAUAUAUAAAAUGAUUAGAUACAAUGUGUAUUUUUCCAUAUUUCAAGUAUUUGCACCUCCAAAUAAACAUAUAGUAGUGUAUGCCUACUAGAGAACAUAUAUAAAAUGACUUGAAGAAAUAUAGAAUUGCAUUUCUUCGUAUGCUAAAUAUUUGAGCAAAUAAUUAGAAGAAAAUAUUUGAAAAAUUAUUAGAAUUAUGAAACAUAAACUUUUAAACUGAUAGUAUAAGAUAAAAUCAAUAUACUUCUCUUAGAAAAAAUUAACAUGUAUGAUUAUACGAUUUUCUCUAUUCCUUAUUUUUAAUCAUUUUUAUCCAUAUCUUCUCCAAUACCACAUCAAAUUUAUAGUAGUCUAUCAUUACUAGAGAACAUAUAUAAAAGGAGUAGAUAUAAUAUGUAUUUUCCCAUCCCUGAAUUAUUUUGCACCUCAAAUUAAAUUUGGUCAGUUAAUUAGUUGGUCAAAUAAAUAAUUUUAUUUUUAUUGAAAAUAUUAUUUUGAUCUAUUAUUAAGAUGUCUAGCUAAGUAAAUGAUUUAAUUUUAACUAGCAUUUACACCCCGUGCAAUGAACGGAAAAAUAUUUUAAAUUUUUUUAUUUAUAUUAAAGUAAUACUAAUUUAAUUAUCAUACUUAUAAAUAUAUAUAUAUAUUUAUAUUUUAACUGAAUAUAUUUGAGCAAAUAAAUAGAAGAAAAUAUUUUCCGGAUUUUAGAAAUUGUCAUGGAUGAUUAUACGAUUUUCUCUAUUCUCUAUUUUUAUUUUUCUUAUGUCCUUAUUUUAAUCAUUUUUAUCCAUAUAUUCUUCAAUCCUAUAUCUAAUUUAUAGUAGUCUAUGACUACUAGAGAAUAUAUAUAUAAAAGGAUUAGAUAUAACGGUAAAUAUUACUUUAAACCCCAAAUUAUGUUCACACAAUUAAUUAUAUCUUGAACUAUUGAAAAAUAUUUUUUAAGACUUAAACUAUCGAUUUUGUAUUAAUUGUACCCUUCAUCCAUUUUUCACUCCUUAAAUUUUCAAUUAAUAAAGCAUAUAAUGAUGUUGUUUUAUGGAGUAUAAAGCAUGUUAAAAAAGGAUUGAUUUUGAAUAAUCAUAACAUCCGGCGAGCCACGUCAAAUUUUCAGAGCCAAAAAAAUAGACGAGUGGUGCAAUUGAUACAAAAUUAAUAAUUCAAGGUUUGUAAAAAAAAUCUAUAAUUAAGGAUAUAAUUGAUAGUGUAAAAAUAAUUUGAGGUUUAAAGUAAUACUAGCAUUUGCACACCGUGCAAUGCACGGGAAACUUUAAACUUUUAUAUUUAUAUAAAACUGAUAUCAACUCAAUUAUCAUAUCUAUAAAUAUAAUUUAAAAAUAGUUUUAACUUAAUAUAUUAAUUUGAAAUGUAUAUUGAAAAAAUAAAAAAAUUACAAUAAUAAAAAUUGAUGUAAUGAAAAGAAAAAAAUUACAAUAUACUCCCUCCGUCCCAUGAAGCAAGAUCAAGUUUCCUUUUUGGUCUGUCCCACGAAGCAAGACCAGUUUCUAAAAGUAGCAAAAAAUUUACUCUUUAUUCACCUUUUCACUUUUUCAUCUACCACACUUAACACACAAAAUACCAAUUUCGAACUUGGUCUUGCUUCAUGGAACGGAGGGAGUAUAUUGCAUACUGCAUUCAAUCCAGAAGUUUUUAAAGAUAGAGAUAUUUUGGAGUAACUAACGAGAUGAUUAUUCGUGUAAAUUUUGCCGGCAUCAUUAACCAAUUAUUGAUUUAUAUUUUGUUUAUUUAUAUACAUAUUUUAUAAAUUUAAAUAACUUCAAGAAAUUAAUUGGUAUUACACACACACAUAGAUAUAUAUAUAUAUAUAUAUAUGUAUAUGUAUAUAUAUGGGUUUGGGACGAUAAUAAUAUUAAUAUCAUCACAUAUAUAAUUAGAAAAUGGAAUACUCCUAUGUAGCAUCACCAUAGUUAUGCAUUUUUAUCUAUCCUAUUUCUCAAAAAAAAAAAAAAACAUAUUUAUUAAUUCUUAUUUAUCUAAAUCUUCUCAUCCCACAUUGAUUUUUUUUAUGAAAAUUUACCAAUUGAAAUACUAAAUAAAUUGAUACUAUAAUUUGAAUCUCGUAUCAAUUUGUUAAGUCUUAGACGAGAUGAUUCUCAAAACUUAGUUAUGGUCUUUCAAACUUCAAAUAAGAUGAUGCUUACCCAGUUUUAUUCUUUCAAACUCCAAACGAAAUGAUGGUUGAAAUUCAGUUAUUCUAUUUUAAGCUCCAAAUGAGAUGAUGCACAUAACUAUAUAUGUUAUGGUUUUUGAAGCUCCAUACAAGAUGAUGUUUAGAAGUUAGUUAUGGUAUUUUAAACUCCAAAUGAGAUGAUGCACAUAAUCAUGUUAUGGUUUUUCAAGCUCCAUACAAGAUGAUAUUUAAAAGUUAGUUAUGAUCUUAUAAGCUUCAGAUUGUAUAAUCUCACAAAUCAGCCCUGAUCUUUCAAGCUCCUAAUGAAAAUAAUGUUUAGAAGUAAGUUAUGAUAUUUAAAGUAUCAAAUAAUGAUGUUCAAACGAUUGACGCAUAAAAGCCAGAUAUAUUGUUUCAGGGUCCAGACGAGAUAAUCCUAAAAAAUUUGGCGUUCAAAAGUUAAAUAUUGUCUUUCGAGUUCUUGAUGAUCCUCUGGUCUUAUAGAGUUGAGAUGGGAUGAUGCUUAUAUGACAUAUGAGAUCUUAAAUUAAUUUUUACCUGUCAAUAUAAAAAAAUUGUACAAAAUUUAUAUAAAAGAGUAUUUUUAUUAUUCUAGCAAAAAAUGAACAUUUAAUUGACGAAUAUAGUUGAAAUUAAUAUAACAUAAACUCUAUUAAAAAUAAUAUAAAUAAUUUAAAUCAAAAUUUAAAGUCCCGUCGAAUUUCGACGGGUUAUACACUAGUAGUUACAUGAAAGCAUCAACUUGUCAAGAUAUAAGAUAAGUUAUCAGGAGAAUCUUCAUCUAGCACCAAAUAUUGUUGCAGAAAUAUGCUGAGACGCUAUUCAGUUUGCAGGGUUUAGUUAUUUUACAAUUGUACACGCACCAACAAAAUUAAGAUAACUCAGUUUCAUCAACAUAUAUAAGCCUGAUUCGAAAUGUGUACAAGCCUUUGAUUCCAUGAAACAUAAUGGUCCAUUUCCAUUUAUACGACAUUAUUUAAGAUGGUUUAUACCAGAAUAAAUGUUGACAUUUUCAUUUUCAUUAGCAUGGUAAAUAGAACCAUGUUUUGCAUUUUAGUGAUUCAUGGAUUAAAAAGAAAUUAAACCAAAAUUUAUAUCAUCAAACAUUUCCAUCUUGUUUAUAUUAACUUUUUCAUUUCGCAGGACACUUUUUCUUUCUUAUUGUAAAAGAGAAAAGACAUAAAACAUAAUUUCACAUGCCUCAAGAAAAAGAGAAAAAAACCAAAGUUACCUACUUUAGAUAGGUAUAAAAGAUAUUAAUGGUAUGAGAGAGCACCUGAUGAGGAUUCCGGUCUAUGAUGGACUGCUCCUUGAAUAAUUAAAUGUGGUAAUGUGGUGUGGUCCACCAAAAAGUAUGAGUACUCUUUUUAUGAAAAGACUAAAUAGUACUCUCUUAUUAUUACUUAAUAAAGCCUUAAACAUUUCCAUAUUAAGACUGAGCCAAUUGGAGUGGGACAACCUAAAAUGGAAAAUGAGGCUAUUGGAGUGGGACGAAUGUAGUAAUAUUAUUAUUAAUAAUUUUAAUUUUUUUAGUUUAUUAAUCACUAAUUUGGAUAGUUCUAAUUAUUGUUAUUUUCAUCAUUAUAUGAUACUAAUUAUUGUUAUUUUCAAGUUUAUAUAAUAUUUAUGUUGUUAUUUUCGUGUCAGAAGUUGAAGAUAUGAAAUUAUUUUAUUUUUUUAUUUUUCUUUUGUUAGAGAAUGCUACUUGAUAUUGGUGUAACUAGGGUUGUCGAUCGGUUCGGGUUCGGUUAUCCGUACCCGAAUUUUCGGUUACCCGAACCCGAAAUUGUCAUAUUUCACUAACCGUUUUCGAACCGUUUUAGGUAUUCGGUUACCCAAUAACCGCUUCGGUUACCCGAUUCGGUUAUUUGUGUAUCCGAAAUACCCAUUUAAAAAAUUUAAAUUUAAAUAAUUUGCUAGAUAGAGGAUUUGAACCUUAGUCUCUAAAAAAUACACAAAGCAACUUAUCCAUUAGACUAAAGCUCAUUUUUAUACCUUAAAUAUAUCAUAAUUUUAUUUUAGCUAAAAAUCGAUUUAAAAAAAUAAAUUAAUUAAUUAAUGAAUUAAUAAUUAAAAAAUAUAUAUAAUAUAAUAUUAAAUAAUUUUUGGUUAUUUUGGUUGGGUUAACCGAUACUCGAAAUUUUUCUAAAAAUGAUACCCGAAACCGAACCGAUAAUCAAAAAAUUCGAUUAUUGGAUACCCAAACCCGAGAAAUUCUGUUCUGUUAACGGAUUAUCCAAAACCCGAUAACCAAUUAGACAGCCCUAGGUGUAACAAUGAUGUUAUUCAAAUUGCGCCCACCCUAAUAAAUUAUGAAGGACUUGCAUCGGUGGACCGGUGGUUCAUUUCAACCAAUACAAGCUUGAUGGCGAACUAUAUUAUGUAUUAAUUUCACCACAAAUUGCUUACUUUUUCAACAUCUCCCCUACUCAACUUUCACAUCACAACUUAACCAUCAAAUUGAGUAAAACUAGAAAGUCAACCGUUUUCCUUAGAUAGUACUCCAUCCGUCCCAAUUUUUAGUAUCCAAAUUUCUUUUUUGAUCCUCCCAUAUUUUGGUAUUUAUUUUAAUUUUUCAUAAAAGUAGGUGGGGUCCUUACUCCACUAUAAUUAUUUUAACUCUCACAUAAAAAGUUAGACCCUUAUUCCACUUACAACACACCAAUCACUUUAUUAAAAUACGUGCCGUUCUCAAUUGGAUACCAAAAGUCGGGACGGAGGGAGUAUGAAAUAUUAAAUUUGAAUUACACGUUGUCAACAUUUGACGCACUAAGAACGUGAUACCGUGACAGAGGGCUUCCAAGACAUUACGAGACAAAAUACAUGCAUAGGUAAAAUAGAAAUAAAAAUUUUGAAUAUAAAAAAAGUUAUUAUUAUUAUUAUUAUUAUUAUUUUUAAUCUGAAAUUUUUUAAUGCACAUGAUUGAACAUAAAAAUACAUGUUUAUAAACAUAAAUUUGCAUAACUUUGCACACAAAAAUGCAUUGCAUAUUUUGUGGCAACAACAUGCAUAUUUUUGUGUGCAAAGUUAUGCACGAUCUCUAUUUAAUUAUAUAUAUAUAUAUAUAUAUAUAUAUAUAUUUUAAUAGUUGAAAAUAAUUUUUUUAUCUUUGAGGGGGUUGAAAAGUAGUCUUGGUAGCAUUAAAUUCUAUCUGUGCCAUGCAUAUACAACAAAUUUAUAGUGUCCAAAUCAUACAGCUUUGCAAAUAUUGUCCAAAAUUUAUUCUGGUCCAUCCAAAGCUCCAUUGUAUAUCACGAACUCUUGAGCAAUAUAUAUAACCUUUAUUACAACAUAAAUAAUCAAAUUAAUCAUCAUCUCAUAUUGAGACGCGUUAAAUUGUUUUUUCCUAAAUCCAUACAUGAUAAAUACCAAAAAUAUUUAUAAAUACGAGCUUAAUUAGAUCUGAUCUUGGCCAAAAAAAUUAUAUAUAUAUAUUUCUUUAACGUGAGAUUUGCUCACCUGCAAAUUAUAAGUCAUGUACCACGAAUUCGAUUUAUGGUUAAACAAAACCUAGUCACUCUAGGAAAUUGUUUACCUGAAAAUAUAUAUAUCCCAAUAUUAUUUUUACCUCAAUUUUUAUGGUUGACUUGCUGAAUUAGUCAAAGUAUAAGCAAACAAUUCGUGUAUUUGACAAAGAGUUGAACACUUGAAGUAGCUAGCUAGUGACUUAGUAAGAACAAGCCAAACAAUAAAUUAAUUUGAGAAAAAGGAGAUUAUCAUGUUAGAUUGUCUCAUCAUAAACGAUCAAUAAUUUGGAUUGCAAACUCCUAUUUCACUAACAAUACUAUUAUAGAUAUUCUGAUACAAUUGAAUAUAAAUUUAUAUCUAUAUCUUGACACGUGUCAUGAUGGAAAAAUCUUACACAAUAAUUUGUAUUUGAAAAGAUGAAAUUUGGCAGACGCCAAUUCAAUUACAAUAUGCUAAAAUUCUUGGGUUUUAUAUACAAUCGAAUUCCCUAAUUGAUCACACCGACAAAUUCUAAACCAAACUUCAAAUUCAACUCUAGCUAAAUUCUAGGUUUUCUCCAACUGAAUAACUCUUAAAAAAAGUUUAAAUACAAUCAUAAUAUACGAAAAGUUUAACCAACACAAAAUCUUAUGUAGCAAUGCUUUUCUCUAUAGCACUUGAAUCCAGAUAACGAUAAAUGACUCGCCUAACAGAUCUUAACUUAUCGAGCCGUAUUACACGAGACUUGCUUUUAAUCAACAGAAAAAAUUUAUGUAAGAUAAUCUGACGAGUCAAGAUCUAUCACUCAUAUAGUUAAUAAUUUUAAAAUAUUUUAUCGUGCUCGAAAUCCGUAUUACACGAUACUUGCUCUUUAAUCAACACAAAAACUUAUGUAAGAUAGUUUGACGAGUCAAGAUCUAUCACUCAUAUAUUCAAUAAUUUUAAAAACUUGUCGGGCCAUAUUACACGAAACUGCCCUAUUACGUGAGACUUGCUUUUAAUCAACACAAAACCUCACGCAAGACAGUCUAACGAGCUAAGAUCUAUCACUCACAUAUCCAAUUAUAUAUAUUUAUAAUUCAAAAUUACUUUAUAGUGCUUCAAAAUUCAGAUAAUGACUCGUCUAACAAAUCUUAACUAGUUCGAACCGUUUAACACAUAAAGAUGUCACUUUCUUGCAUUAGUGAUAGGCUAUAACUAGUCACGCUAGGGGGAGACGUGGUCUUGAGCAAGUCAAUGGACACGCCAUAGGAAAAGAUCCACAACACGAAAAGACCAAAAUACCCAUCCCUAGCCUCGUAUAAUCCUCGUCAUUCACAAGGGCAAUUUAGUGAAAUCAAACCUAAUAUUUUUCAAACGUUAGAAGCUUUAUAAAUUGGUCUGUUAGAAGACAAAGGAAAACGGCUUUCAUUGUAAUCUUGACAACUGCCACACAUUCACCAGGGCUAAUAUAAAACACACACAACACACACUCAUAUAUCCCUCUGUCUUUUUCCAAUUUUAUUAUUCCCUUGUCUUUAAAAUUAAAUUUCUUUUGGGGAAAUUCGGAAAGUGGCUUUAUUUAUUUAUUUUGUUAUUUGAUAUAUAAAAAUAAUUCGAGGGGUCUGGAAAUUACGUUAGGGUCAUAUUGUUGCAUUCCCUUUCUGCGGCCGGGGGCGUCAAGUUUCCAACUUUGAGGGAGAUCUCAUUUGGGUUUUGUUUGGUUUGAUUUGGGUCUGCAUUUCUUGAUCUCGAGAUAAAGAGGGUGAUUGUUUGGUGAUUUUAGAGAGAGAAAGGGGAGAGAGAGAGAGAUGAGCGGUGUAUCAAGAAUUUGGGAGAAGGUGAAUAUGAUGGCGGAAGGAGGAUCUCGGAAUUGUUCCAAGAAAUCUGAUGAUAUAUGUGGCGAUGCCUGUGGUGAGGUAAAAAAAAAUCAUCUUUUUUUAGGGGGUUGCGUUUUUUGCUAAUGUAUGGCAUAAAAAGAGUGUGGGUUUUUUCCUCGCCUUUUUUCUUUUUAAAAUUCUUGAAUGUCUUGUUUCGGUUUUCGUUUGGGUGGGGAUUGUGGUUUGCUUUUUAGAUUCUGUAAAAAAAAAAUUAUUUUUUUAUUUUAUUGAUGAAACAUCAAUGGAUAAAUUUUUGAUUUUGGACUAUUGGGAUGAGGGAACAUUUGAAAUUUCGUUUUGUUUAGAGCAAUUUUGAGCUGUAGUUUUGUGUGUGUGUGUGUUUUAUUGAGGGAUUAGAUCAAAUUCCCCCAUUUAUGUAAUUAUUAUUUCUGGGAAUAUAUCAGCGUGAAGAAAUUUUAAGAUCCUGUGAUUUUUCGUUUGAAUUAUUUUGUGAAUGUUGCUUUUUUCUGGUUUAUCUACCGUUAUACCUCAUUUGAUUGGAGUGGGAUCUGAAAGAAUGUCCUGUUCUCAAUAAUAUUAUUUGGCACUUGCUUGAAUUUUCAAUUUUAUUGCUCUUAUCUUAUGCCUUGCAGGAAUUAUUCUGUGAUUUGUUGUAUGGUUUUCAUUAAUCUAUUGAAAGUCAUUAAAAAUGUUGUAGGGAAAGUAAGAUUCUUGCUUUAUUUGCAAUCUGUGAGGUCCAUAUUUGAAUAGCAUCACAAUGGAGAGAAUCUAGCUGUGGAAGUUGUGUAUAUGUUGGUUCGAGUUCGUGUUGAAUCGUAUGUAUGAUUGUUGCAGUUUUUCUAAUAAAUUUGGUGUUUGUGAAAAUUGCAGGAUUCAGGAAGGGCUUUGAGCAUGGCCAGAUUGAGAUGUAUUCUGCGGGGGCUGGAUUUCAAAGCAUUGCUCUUUCUCUUUGUGUUGAUCCCGACGUGUGUCUUUGUUAUAUAUGUCCACGGCCAAAAGAUCACGUACUUUCUGAGACCGUUAUGGGAGUCCCCGCCCAAGCCUUUCCACGAGAGACCUCACUACUAUCACGAGAAUGUGUCAAUGGAGAAUCUGUGUAAGCUUCAUGGUUGGGGGAUACGUGAGUACCCUAGACGUGUCUAUGAUGCAGUGCUGUUCAGCAACGAGGUGGACAUCCUCAAGAUGCGUUGGAAGGAGUUGUAUCCGUAUGUGACAGAGUUUGUCCUCCUUGAGUCGAAUUCCACCUUCACCGGGCUGCCAAAGCCCAACCUCUUCUCAACUGUCCGCGAUCAGUUCAAAUUUGUUGAGCCCCGUUUGACCUAUGGGCAGGUCCCGGGGAGAUUCAAGACGGGAGAGAACCCUUUUGUUGAGGAGGCGUAUCAGAGAUACACGUUGGAUUAUCUUCUCAAGCAAGCCGGCAUUCAGGAUGAUGACCUUUUGAUAAUGUCGGAUGUUGAUGAGAUCCCAAGUAGGCACACGAUCAAUCUCUUGAGGUGGUGCGAUGACAUACCCCCGAUCCUUCAUCUUCGUCUCAAGAACUAUCUGUACUCGUUCGAGUUUUUCCUUGACAACAACAGCUGGAGAGCCUCUGUCCAUGUAUACCAAUCUGGCAAGACGAGAUAUGCUCACUACCGACAGUCUGAUGAGAUCUUGGCUGAUGCAGGGUGGCAUUGUAGCUUCUGCUUCAAACGCAUCAGCGAAUUCAUAUUCAAGAUGAAGGCUUACAGCCACGUGGAUCGGGUGAGAUUCUCUCAUUUUCUGAGCCCUAAGAGGAUCCAGAAAGUGAUCUGCAAAGGUGCUGAUUUGUUUGACAUGCUGCCCGAGGAGUAUACGUUCAAGGAGAUAAUCGGGAAGAUGGGGCCGAUCCCACAUUCCUAUUCGGCCGUUCAUCUCCCUGCAUAUCUCUUGGAGGCAGCUGAUCAAUACAAAUUCCUCUUACCUGGGAAUUGCAUAAGGGAAAGAGAGAGUGGCUGAGCUACACGAACGAGGUCGUGUAUCUUCUUGUACAGGUGGAGGAAGCAAGCUUCAGCUCGACUCCCGGGUAAGGGUGACCUUUAACCAAAUUCAUGGCUGCAGUGUGUGUUGUUUUUAUAACCAUGCUACAUACAUGUUCAGCCUACUUAUAUCAUUCUUGCCUUCGAGCUUUUGAGAAAACAAAGAAAAAAAAUGACAGACAUAUCUCGGACUUUACUAGAUUGAGGUUUGUAUAUAAUCGUUCGUAGACUUGAUUUUCAUGCAACCGGAUAGUGCACUGAGCGAGAGAAACGAAAAGAAAAGAAAACGGGCUCUGCUAGGAACUACUUGUUGUAACUAGGGCGUUUCCAUAAUACAUAAACGCGCUAUGACUGUGCAUUACGCCCCCUUGAAGGCGGGGGGUUGGUUCAUCGUUGUUGCUGGCCGUUUUUCUGUCUCUAGGAAAAUUUUUGGUGUGAGCAGUGAGCUAAUAUAUUCAUCUGCAGAUUGUGAAACAUGCUGUAGUGCUUUCUUGAUUUUGGAUCUUCUCUCAAACUGUUUUUUUAUUUUUUCAAUGGAGAUAUGAUGUGAUGAUUCAGCUCUUUCUUGAGAUUUUCUUGCUAUUCUUUCCUCAAUUUUUACAGCUAAGUUUUGUCUGAAAACAGAGGAUUCUUGGCUUUGUGAAGCAUUGUUUGUUGAUGGAUAGCUGGUUUCUUGUUUGUUGAUGAACUAAGAAAUUAUGUGUGGGAAGAAAAAGAAUUAAAGAAAAAAGUCAAAUGAAAUAAAGAAUCUGAUACCCUCAAUAAUUUAUGAUGGUUUUUUGUCAUUGUUCAAGGUUGGCAUGUCCGAAUAUUUUUUCUAUUUCAAGAAAAUAUAAUCAUUAAUUGCCACUGAUGUGCAGCUCAUUACAUUUGCUUUAUUCAACACUUGCAAGUUACUACUAUAAUUUAAAUUAAAACCUUAUUAUACUUCAAAAUCUUUGUGAUCAUAUUAUAAUUGGCUACAUCAAUAAGGGCUUGUUCAUCAAGAUUGGCACUCAACCUUCAAAUACAUGAACUUCUAUUAUUUCUAUUUUUCACAUGGUUCUCAAUUAUCCUCAAAUUAAUAGCGAUAUGGACGCCUAGAAUGUUUACAUGACUUAAACGAUAGAUGACAAAACGAUAUAGUUGGAUGUCUAUGCAAUUUUAAUUGGUCACGUUGAUAUUAAUUUGUUAUGUCAACUUGCCACUAUGGUAUUAACUGUGAAAAAUUUCAAAUGAUUGGAACUUCAUGUAUUUAGGCGCAAUUAUUCUUUGAAAAUCAGACAGUUAGAAUCACAACUGUUGAUUAGAAGUGAUGCAAGAUUCUUUCCCAAGUGGGAUCAAAAGCUGUAAGAAAUUCCUCAGAGAAAUUACCAAAAAGGAAUUGAAUUCCACAAAAUAUAAAACAAUAUUACCCCAUAAUGGGAAUUGAAUCAGAUGCAUCCCCAUCUCAAAAACAAAAAAAAAACUAUAAGUAGCAGACACUAACACCAAUCAAUCUAUCAAGAGAGAGAGAGAGAGAGAGUCAAGAAAAUGCAGAUGUACAAGGAAGUAGUGGAGGAAUAUGAAUACAGCUACAGCAACAAUGGCUCAGACAUGCACAUGAUGAAGCCUGCUGCUGCACAGCACAGCUACAAUCAGAGCCAUGGCCAUGCGCCCGAGACGAGGUACGAGGAUGGCUGGGGCGGCGCCAAGAAUAAUGACCAUUAUGCCCUCGGUGGCAAGGUGCAUCACGGCGGCAAUGAGGGGAUGAAGCACGGUGGAUAGGGGCUGAUCAGGGGCAUUUUGGUCAUUACAAGGAGGGGAUGGGGAUGAAGCACGGCGGAUAUGGGGGCGAUCAGGGGCAUUUUGGUCAUUAUAAGGAGGUGAUGGGAUGAAGAA
rnacentral:lncRNA from 1 species